UCUACUAAAUAUAGCUAUUUAGGACUUGAGGAUCAAUAUUAGCGUUUACACAGCAGCAGCAACACCAGACUCGUCUGAUCCUGCACUACGGCGACUCCAGGGGAAGGAACAUCAAAUACAGGCAUGGCUACUUGUCAAGAUUAUCGGAAUAGGUAUCCCUACAUAAGACUGCACUCGAGAACCUGUCAUCGUUGAGUAAAGUUGAAAACACAGACGACGAAAGAAGACCAGGGACGGUUGAGAGACAUAUGUAGUCGGCAUUCAAAAUUGUGUUGGAAAGGUAGAAAAUGGGUAGAUGAAAUAUCUAUGGACAUGCACAUGUCAUCGACAAAUGUAAAAGUUGCUACAGCAUCUGCUGUAGUGUACAUGGGCUGGACAUCGUAAGAGUCCCAUACAAGUGGAUUUAAAUUUUGAACGAGAAUAGGGUUAUCGAACAUGUAUGUUGUUGUGAAAAUCGUUGCGUUGUUGUCAAUAGCUUUACUUCUGUUAAUUAGUUCAAUACAUGGUUAUAAUAUUGCUAACUUGCCAUUUGGCAUUUUCUUUAAAACAGCUGUGACAAGUGUCUGGAGCUUUUGUAGGGGCAUUCCUGUUAGCUGUCUGAACGAUUGUUCUCUUGAAAAAGUCAAAAUGAAUAGGGUACUGAUAUUUAACAGACUAUAACAAUGCAUGUAUGUACUGUAGUGUUAUGAUGUAAUGUUAAGACUAAGUUUGCAAUCAACAUUUGACAAUCAGCAAAUUAGAAAUAUUGUACAGGUUUACAUAAUUUUUCUGCGACUGUAAGUUAUUCCUGGUAAAAGUAGACUUGAAUGAUUGGAGUUUCAUUGUUUUGAUUUGACAGAAUUUGAAUGGAGAAAGCACUAGCCAUGCGCGACUUGGUAUUAUCUUAUCAAAAACUAUGGAAAGUAUUUUUACCAAAUAUUAUAUUUUGCAGUUACUUGUUUGAGAUGCGUCCAAUCGGUAAGAUAUUGCUUUCAGCAGAGUUUGUCAGUUUGUCACAUUGUUUUCAAAAAAAAGUUUAUUUUGGGGGUAAUGGCGGUUGGGGGAGGGGGGCAUAACAUUGGCAGAAAUGUACUGCUUUUACAUUUUAUCUUUCAGUUUUGAUUGAUUAGGAAUUUAUGCAAGGCUGAUAUUUCUGUCCAUAAUGUUUUGUAAUGUAAAUCUCCAUUUCCUUUUUUUGUGUCUGAGGGCGGAGCUACAAUUUGUUGAAAAUGAUAUCUCCGGCGACCAUUUCCUGCUGCCUUGACAAUUGGUAUCCAUUGUAGAUGCUGAAGCUGUUGACAGAUGUCCUGGGCUGGUAUUGAAGUCAUUGACAUGUGCCCAUGGUAAAUACUUGGACUGUUGACAGAAGUCCUUAGCUGGUAUUGGAGUCCUGUUGAUAUUAUUAUUAUUGUUAUUACAGUUGUUCCUGGAUGCUCUUCGGAUAUUGGUCACUCUCAGAAGAAACCUUCUUUGGAAGUGUUGGACAAUCAUCUAGAAAAGGCCGUUUUUGUUUCCUUCAUCACUGAAGAUGUAGAUGGCAUUAGAAUUGGAUGUGCAGGCAUCCUUUUUUAGAACGUCUUCUUUGUUCAUCCAUACAAGCAAAUCACGAUAUCUUGGAUCAAGAACUAUUGCCUUCUCGCUCAACGCAGUUAGAUGCAAGUUUUUUUUACUCGAAUCAAAGCAGCAUAUGCCUGUCCACUUGCAAAGAAAGAUGGACCAAGAUGAACAGUCGCUGUUUCCAACGUCAUGCCUUGGACUUUAUGAACUGUUAAUGCCCAUCCAAGCAGUAAACGGAUUGUUCUCUUAUGACUCCUGCAGUACUGUUCUUGUAAGCCAGAUUUCGCUUCAUCCUGGUUAUUAAUGUUGUUUUUUGUAAUGUUUGAUGUUGUAUUUGGAUGAAGCUAUCGCUGAUAUCCUUUACAAAUGCCAGAGUUCCAUUUACCCAUCCACUAGCAACAUUGAUGUUUUUUUCAAAGUAGGACCUGUACUCCAAUUUUGGGUGUAAUGACAUCUGGUAGUCGUUCUCGGUGAUAACGAACGAUGCAUGUCCGUUGCCGUCAGUGUCAUUGGCAUGAAAUGAGAACUCUUCUCAAAUGUGUUGCUGCAAGAAGAAUGCAUUCCAUUGAUCCCUUUCUUUUCGUAGAGAGACAAUGAUUGGAGUUGGCAGAUUAAUGAAUUAAGUAUCUGGGACAAGGCGCUGUUGCAGCAUCUGCUUAUGGACUGUUGUUAGUUCAACAAGCCCGAUGCUGUUUAGCAUUUCUAGGUAGUUGUCAUCUUUCUGCCUCUUCACUUCUUUCAGCAGCAAUAUCUUGAACUGCUUUCCUCUUAAUGGCUUUUUUAAAUUCUGGGACGCUUCAAUAAGUCAACACAGAUUGUCCAGUUUCUGAAGUACUGCUUUUUCCAUCCAGGGGAAUUCAUCGACAAUGAGGAUCUCAGCAUUGUGCACCAAAGCAUACUCUGAUGUUCGCUUUUCUAGAUAGAAGUUGCACUCAAUGUUCAUUUUAAGGAAAUUGUGGAUUGUUUCUCCCUUGUUGAGGAAACAGCUUACCAUCUACUAUUAGAAAGUCAAAUACCCUCGCCAAGUUCAAGAGGGACAUCAAAACUCACCUCUUCACGUCUGCA
rnacentral:lncRNA from 1 species